rnacentral:rRNA from 1 species
GAUGAACGCUGGCGGCGUGCCUAAUACAUGCAAGUCGAGCGAACAGACGAGGAGCUUGCUCCUCUGAUGUUAGCGGCGGACGGGUGAGUAACACGUGGAUAACCUACCUAUAAGACUGGGAUAACUUCGGGAAACCGGAGCUAAUACCGGAUAACAUGUUGAACCGCAUGGUUCAACAGUGAAAGACGGUCUUGCUGUCACUUAUAGAUGGAUCCGCGCCGCAUUAGCUAGUUGGUAAGGUAACGGCUUACCAAGGCAACGAUGCGUAGCCGACCUGAGAGGGUGAUCAGCCACACUGGAACUGAGACACGGUCCAGACUCCUACGGGAGGCAGCAGUAGGGAAUCUUCCGCAAUGGGCGAAAGCCUGACGGAGCAACGCCGCGUGAGUGAAGAAGGUCUUCGGAUCGUAAAACUCUGUUAUUAGGGAAGAAAAAAUGUGUAAGUAACUAUGCACGUCUUGACGGUACCUAAACAGAAAGCCACGGCUAACUACGUG